CUAAAGGGUAGAGGUUGCAUCGUCUAAGAGUCACAAACCGUAGGGUGAUACCGAUGAGGGUUUGUAAAAGGAGCCGAUGCCGAAGUAAGAAGCGGUUUAUCACACCCUCUUGCUGGGGUUGUCACCAAACAGGGGCAACACUGCCAUAGUAUAUAUUUAAAGAUUAUUAACUAUGGAGCGCUACUGUGGAG
rnacentral:ncRNA from 2 species